GACGGAAGGUGCAAGCGUUGCUCGGAAUCACUGGGCGUAAAGGAUGCGUAGGCGGCCGUGCAAGUCUGGCGUGAAAGCCCCGGGCUCAGCCCGGGAAGUGCGCUCGAAACUGCGCGGCUCGAGUGCCGGAGGGGAGAGUGGAAUUCCUGGUGUAGCGGUGAAAUGCGUAGAUAUCAGGAGGAAUACCGGUGGCGAAGGCGGGUCUCUGGGCCGAUACUGACGCUGAGGAGCGAAAGCGUGGGGAGCGAACAGG
rnacentral:rRNA from 1 species